UACAGAGGUCUCAAGCGUUGUUCGGAUUCAUUGGGCGUAAAGGGUGUGUAGGUGGCGCGCUAAGUCGGGUGUGAAAUUUCGGAGCUUAACUCCGAAACUGCAUUCGAUACUGGCGUGCUUGAGGACUGGAGAGGAGACUGGAAUUUACGGUGUAGCAGUGAAAUGCGUAGAGAUCGUAAGGAAGACCAGUGGCGAAGGCGGGUCUCUGGACAGUUCCUGACACUGAGACACGAAGGCCAGGGGAGCAAACGGG
rnacentral:rRNA from 1 species